UGGGGAAUAUUGCACAAUGGGCGAAAGCCUGAUGCAGCAACGCCGCGUGAGGGACGACGGCCUUCGGGUUGUAAACCUCUUUUAGCAAGGAAGAAGCGAAAGUGACGGUACUUGCAGAAAAAGCGCCGGCUAACUACGUGCCAGCAGCCGCGGUAAUACGUAGGGCGCAAGCGUUAUCCGGAAUUAUUGGGCGUAAAGAGCUCGUAGGCGGUUUGUCGCGUCUGCUGUGAAAACCCGAGGCUCAACCUCGGGCCUGCAGUGGGUACGGGCAGACUAGAGUGCGGUAGGGGAGAUUGGAACUCCUGGUGUAGCGGUGGAGUGCGCAGAUAUCAGGAAGAACACCGAUGGCGAAGGCAGAUCUCUGGGCCGUAACUGACGCUGAGGAGCGAAAGGGUGGGGAGCAAACAGGCUUAGAUACCCUGGUAGUCCACCCCGUAAACGUUGGGAACUAGUUGUGGGGUCCAUUCCACGGAUUCCGUGACGCAGCUAACGCAUUAAGUUCCCCGCCUGGGGAGUACGGCCGCAAGGCUAAAACUCAAAUGAAUUGACGGGGUCAUAGCUGUUUCCU
rnacentral:rRNA from 1 species